UACGGGGGGAGCAAGCGUUGUUCGGAUUUACUGGGCGUAAAGGGUGCGUAGGAGGGCAGGUAAGUCAGUGGUGAAAUCUCCAAGCUUAACUUGGAAACUGCCGUUGAUACUAUCUGUCUUGAAUAUUGUGGAGGUGAGCGGAAUAUGUCAUGUAGCGGUGAAAUGCUUAGAUAUGACAUAGAACACCAAUUGCGAAGGCAGCUCACUACUCAAUCAUUGACUCUGAGGCACGAAAGCGUGGGGAUCAAGCAGG
rnacentral:rRNA from 1 species